CCUACGGGAGGCUGCAGUGGGGAAUAUUGGACAAUGGGCGAAAGCCAGAUCCAGCCAUGCCGCGUGUGUGAAGAAGGCCUUCGGGUUGUAAAGCACUUUCAGUGGGGAAGAAAGCCUUGGGGCUAAUACCCUCGAGGAAGGACAUCACCCACAGAAGAAGCACCGGCUAACUCCGUGCCAGCAGCCGCGGUAAUACGGAGGGUGCGAGCGUUAAUCGGAAUUACUGGGCGUAAAGCGCGCGUAGGCGGUCUGAUAAGCCGGUUGUGAAAGCCCCGGGCUCAACCUGGGAACGGCAUCCGGAACUGUCAGGCUAGAGUGCAGGAGAGGAAGGUAGAAUUCCCGGUGUAGCGGUGAAAUGCGUAGAGAUCGGGAGGAAUACCAGUGGCGAAGGCGGCCUUCUGGACUGACACUGACGCUGAGGUGCGAAAGCGUGGGUAGCAAACAGGAUUAGAUACCCGGGUAGUC
rnacentral:rRNA from 1 species